UAGGGAAUAUUGGUCAAUGGAGGGAACUCUGAACCAGCCAUGCCGCGUGCAGGAAGAAGGCGUUAUGCGUUGUAAACUGCUUUUUUACGGGAGCAAACCCUGAUACGAGUAUCAGGCUGAGAGUACUGUAAGAAUAAGCACCGGCUAACUCCGUGCCAGCAGCCGCGGUAAUACGGAGGGUGCAAGCGUUAUCCGGAUUUAUUGGGUUUAAAGGGUGCGUAGGCGGACUAGUAAGUCAGUGGUGAAAUCCUCAAGCUCAACUUGAGAACUGCCAUUGAUACUGCUAGACUAGAGUACAGUUGAGGUAGGCGGAAUGUGUUGUGUAGCGGUGAAAUGCAUAGAUAUAACACAGAACACCGAUCGCGAAGGCAGCUUACCAAGUUGUAACUGACGCUGAAGCACGAAAGCGUGGGGAUCAAACA
rnacentral:rRNA from 1 species